ACUUAAAUUGAAGAGUUUGAUCAUGGCUCAGAUUGAACGCUGGCGGCAGGCCUAACACAUGCAAGUCGAGCGGUAGCACAGAGAGCUUGCUCUCGGGUGACGAGCGGCGGACGGGUGAGUAAUGUCUGGGAAACUGCCUGAUGGAGGGGGAUAACUACUGGAAACGGUAGCUAAUACCGCAUAACGUCGCAAGACCAAAGUGGGGGACCUUCGGGCCUCAUGCCAUCAGAUGUGCCCAGAUGGGAUUAGCUAGUAGGUGGGGUAAUGGCUCACCUAGGCGACGAUCCCUAGCUGGUCUGAGAGGAUGACCAGCCACACUGGAACUGAGACACGGUCCAGACUCCUACGGGAGGCAGCAGUGGGGAAUAUUGCACAAUGGGCGCAAGCCUGAUGCAGCCAUGCCGCGUGUAUGAAGAAGGCCUUCGGGUUGUAAAGUACUUUCAGCGAGGAGGAAGGCGUUAAGGUUAAUAACCUUGGCGAUUGACGUUACUCGCAGAAGAAGCACCGG
rnacentral:rRNA from 1 species